UGGAGUGCAAAGACCUAACAGCGUAGCCGCCAAGGUACCUAUUCACGUACCAGCGCUUGCGGCAUCAUCUAUUCUGCGGGUGCCCUAAGUAUUCACGUGCCAUGCAUGCAGUAUUUCUCUGGAAACCCUAACCCUAACGGGCCUUAGCGCCUCCAAGGAACACUUGCUUCUGUCAUACCCGAAUGUACCAUACAAACCCCAUGCAUGAUCCUCUCGUGACUUAGGUUUCUUUUGGUAUCAAGGUGUUAACCCAUGUUAACUCAUGCAAUCUGUGGGACCCAGCUUACGUGGCUCACCCUUAUUAUCAGUCCACCGAUGUCCGAUGUCUUUCUCUCAGGCUGAUGACCA
rnacentral:lncRNA from 1 species